GUGACCUUAUGAGAAGACACAUGAGAGAGAUAUGAGGAUGCAGCAGGAUUACUUCUGUCUGCAAACAAAGAAGAGGGGCCUCACAACAUAGAAUUUGCAGGCAUCUUGAUAUUGGACUUCCCAGUCUCCGUGAUUGUUGGAUGCCUUAUCCUGUGAAUAAACUGGCAGUGUUGAUCUACAGCUGUAUGCAGACCACAUCUUUCUUCCAAAGCUGCAAGGCGCACAUUUAAACUCAAAUCUCAGAGACUGCAGCACCAAGAUUGCAGUACAAAUUGGUAUGACCAACCAGGCCCAGGAACCAUCGAUCUUCAUUCUUCCUGCCACCCUGGAAACUGAAACCUUUUGUAGCAAGAGCAUUUGAUCUGCUGUCUUGCACAUAAGACUGUACCCAGUACAUUGUUAUGGCUGGAUGGUGCAAAAAUCUGAGAUUUGGAAAGAUGAAAUGACUUGCCCAAAUUCACAAGGAAAGAAGGGCCACCUUGGGGCAGUCCAUACUGUGACAUGAGGACCAGAGGAAGGUAAGAACUUGGCAGCCUAUCAGCUAAUCCUAGCCAGCUCUCUGCCACUUAAAAUGGUGAAAAGAUGAACACAGCAGUUUUGUCAACAUAUCUGCUUGUACAUGAUUGUUUAUGUGUGAAAUGGUGUCUAGAGGGUGCCUUUUGAUCAAAGGAACUUAGGCCACUAGCGGAUAAGGAAGAAACAUCAGGCUGGUAAAAGAAUAGAAGCCAGAAGCUUGGCUGCUUAACUUGUGCAUCAUGGUGCAAUCCUUUCUUUGAGAAGCUCCUGACAAUACAUCCUCCAGACUGCUAUCUGCUCCACCUUUGGAAACCAAAUAU